AGUAACGCGUGGAUAACCUGCCUCACACAGGGGGAUAACAGUUAGAAAUGACUGCUAAUACCGCAUAAGCGCACAGUACCGCAUGGUACAGUGUGAAAAACUCCGGUGGUGUGAGAUGGAUCCGCGUCUGAUUAGCCAGUUGGCGGGGUAACGGCCCACCAAAGCGACGAUCAGUAGCCGACCUGAGAGGGUGACCGGCCACAUUGGGACUGAGACACGGCCCAA
rnacentral:rRNA from 1 species